rnacentral:rRNA from 1 species
UGCGUAGGCGGCUGGGUAAGUCGCGUGUGAAAGCCCGGGGCUCAACCCCGGAGCUGCAUGCGAGACUGUCCGGCUCGAGCACGGUAGAGGCGGGCGGAAUUCCUGGUGUAGCGGUGGAAUGCGUAGAUAUCAGGAAGAACACCGGUGGCGAAGGCGGCUCGCUGGGCCGUUGCUGACGCUGAGGCACGAAAGCGUGGGGAGCAAACAGGAUUAGAUACCCUGGUAGUCCACGCCCUAAACGAUGGACACUAGGCGUCGGGGGAGCGACCCUCCCGGUGCCGUCGCUAACGCAAUAAGUGUCCCGCCUGGGGAGUACGGCCGCAAGGCUGAA